AUGGCCUCGCCGGCGAAGCGCCCGAAGCACUCGUCGCCGGGGAAGCACCAGGAGAUGCCGCCGCCCCCGGAGGAAGGCCCCGCGGAGGAUCCCCGCGUGCUCCUCCGCCGCCGCUGGGAGUUCGCCUCCGUUCUCCACUUCCUCCAGGUCUUCGAGCCGGUGAUCGAGGCGAACCUGGGGCUCUCGGCCGACGAGAUCGAGACGGCGCUCAUCACCAACAACGAGGACCUCGCUCGCAUCCACAUUGCCCUUUUGAAGGGAAUACCACCAGUUAACAAAAAACUCAAACUCAAUGUUGAUGAUGGAUGGGUGAUAGCAACUGCCAAGAAACUAUCCGACUGGUGGUCAUGGGUCGCUGAAGGGGCAAACCCGUUCGAAAAAAAUCGUGGUAAGGAAGUUGAGACGUUUAAGGAGCAGGAUCCAGUGAACCGUUUAUUUAUACUCAAAGCGCUUUGUGAAGUUCGCUUAGAGCAAAAUGAUGCAGUAUGCUACAUAACUGAUGAAAUGAAGAAAGGAGUUAGUAUUGGCAACUUUAGGAAAGAUAAGUUAGGGAGUGCUAGUGAUGGAGCUAUAUACUGGUAUGUUGGGGACUCAACUAUUGGACAUAGAUUAUACAAAGAAGAUGUAUUGGUUGGUUUUAAGAAUAACUGGAAGGGGAAGGAUGGCCGUUUGACAAAACCAGUUACCAAUAUUCAGUGGGAAACAGUUGCAACUAACCUUAAUGAGUUUCUUGAGAUAUCAGAGAAGUUAUGCAGCAAAGGUCGAUCUGAAGCUACCAUUGGGGAGCAUCUUAAGGAAAAUAUUGUUCCAGCUGUGGAGAAGUUCCAGAAGAAGAAAGAGAGGGACUUGAAACGUCGGCAGCAGAAGAAUGAGCGUUUGGAGCGUUUAGCUUUUGCUAAUGUUUUCCAAACCCGUUCAUUGCGCGAACGUAAAGCUGUCAGCUACGAUUACUCUGAUUAUGAUCGUCGCAUAAACGAGGCAAUAAAAGCUACAGCGAAAGGAAAGGAAGCUGAUUCACGCAAGGAGGCGGCGAAAAAGGAAAAGCAAGUUCCUCAUCAGGCAGACAACAAAACUGAUAUAGGUGCUGACAUCGAGCAUAAUGAAGACAGAGAACAGGAGGAUGGCAAGGAGGACCUAGACGAUCUUAGUUCUGGCGACGAUGAAGUCUCAGACUAUGAUGACAAGGAUGACGGCUCCUCCAGCAGCGAUGGAGACACUGAUGCUUCUGACUCCCACGAGAGCAACUCGGAUGAGGAGGUUAUUGUACCACGCAAGAGGACCCGCCUUGCUGCCCGGGCUCUUGCUAGCAAGCAGUUUCGACCAGGGGUUCGUCGGAGUCGAAGAAACAUGAAAGGUUCUGAUGAAGAGAUGGUGCACCCAGGGGAGGUGACUCCUGAAGCUAUGACAAAGAAAACAACGAGGCAAAGACCGACGCCCAUCUCCAAGCAGUUCUCUAUGUCAGGCUCUGAAGAUGGCUCUGAAGAAGAUCAUCAUUCAGAGUCAGCUGCAGAUUCCGAGGAGGAACCUGAAGAUGGCUCCAAAGAUGAUCAUCAUUCAGAGUCGGCUGCAGAUUCUGAGGAGGAACCUGAAGAUGGCUCCAAAGAUGAUCAUCAUUCAGAGUCAGCUGCAGAUUCCGAGGAGGAACCUGAAGAUGGCUCCAAAGAUGAUCAUAAUUCAGAGUCAGCUGCGGAUUCUGAGGAGGAACCUGAAGAUGGCUCCAAAGAUGAUCAUCAUUCAGAGUCAGCUGCAGAUUCUGAGGAGGAAUCUGACUCUGAGUCGUCUUAG
rnacentral:rRNA from 1 species